rnacentral:tRNA from 1 species
GGCGGUGUAGCUCAGCGGUUAGAGCACACGGUUCAUACCCGUGAGGUCACUGGUUCGAAUCCAGUCACCGCUACCA